GGGUCAGUAGGUUGGUCGUGCCACCGGUACGUACUGGUCUCACUGAUUCCUCCUUCCUGAAGAACCGUAAUGCCAUUAAUUUGGUGUUGCGGGGAAACAGGACUGUUACUUUGAAAAAAUUAGGGUGUUUAAAGCAAGCUAACGCUUGAAUACAUUUGCAUGGAAUAAUGAAAUAGGACGAUCGAUCCUAUUUUGUUGGUUUCUAGGAUUGACGUA
rnacentral:rRNA from 1 species